AGAACGAACGCUGGCGGCAGGCUUAACACAUGCAAGUCGAGCGCUGUAGCAAUACAGAGCGGCAGACGGGUGAGUAACGCGUGGGAACAUACCCCAAGGUUCGGAAUAACUCAGGGAAACUUGAGCUAAUACCGGAUAUCUCCGAGAGGAGAAAGAUUUAUCGCCAUGGGAUUGGCCCGCGUUCGAUUAGCUUGUUGGUGAGGUAAAGGCUCACCAAGGCUACGAUCAGUAGCUGGUCUGAGAGGAUGGCCAGCCACAUUGGGACUGAGACACGGCCCAAACUCCUACGGGAGGCAGCAGUGGGAAUCUUGCGCAAUGGGGGAAACCCUGACGCAGCCAUGCCGCGUGGAUGAUGAAGGUCUUAGGAUUGUAAAAUCCUUUCAGCGGGGACGAUAAUGACGGUACCCGCAGAAGAAGCCCCGGCUAACUUCGCGCAGCAGCCGC
rnacentral:rRNA from 1 species